rnacentral:rRNA from 1 species
UACGUAGGUCCCGAGCGUUAUCCGGAAUCACUGGGCGUAAAGAGUUCGUAGGUGAAUAGGAAAGUUGAAUAUGAAAGACCGGAGCUCAACUCCGUGUUUGUAUUCAAAACUCCCUGUAUAGAAUAAGUCAGAGGUAAGCGGAACUGUGUGAGUAGGGGUGCAAUCCGUUGAUACACACAAGAACACCAAAAGCGAAGGCAGCUUACUGGGGCUUUAUUGACACUGAGGAACGAAAGCGUGGGUAGCGAAAAGG